AAGUAGAUAAAGUUUGUAGAACAAACUGAUACACAAUUAAGUUUAUGAACUUUAAGAGAUUAUGGGUCCUUUAUGUAUUUCAGUCACCUAAUAUGUUUCUACAGGAUAUACAUCUUUAAAAUUACCAAAGUAAGGUAUUUCUUUUCUGAAAUAAGCAAAGUGAAGCUAAAAUAUAAGUUAGAGAUGCCAAAAAGAAGUCUAGGGAGUGAUUUUUUGCUUUGCAAUAUUGCACUGAGUACCCUUGAUUCUUGGUAGUGAUGAAAUUGUCAAAAAUCACUGUGUGAAUUUUCACAAUAUUCAAUGAUAAACUGACUCAAGAUGUUCUUCCACAUCAGUAGUUGUCUGCUGUGUGUUCUACAAGGGAUUUAUAGAAUAAGAGAUCCUGGAAUAAUAAUAGAGUCCUCAUAUUCUUGGAGCUUUCAGUUAAGUGUGAAAGUUAGGUGGAUGACCAGGCCUUGGCAGAGACUUAGGAUUUGGAUUUAUAUAAGAGGUUGGGUCAGGACAUGACU
rnacentral:lncRNA from 1 species